AGCGGCGGACGGGUGAGUAACACGUGGGUAACCUGCCCAAGAGACUGGGAUAACACCUGGAAACAGAUGCUAAUACCGGAUAACAACACUAGACGCAUGUCUAGAGUUUGAAAGAUGGUUCUGCUAUCACUCUUGGAUGGACCUGCGGUGUAUUAGCUAGUUGGUAAGGUAACGGCUUACCAAGGCAAUGAUGCAUAGCCGAGUUGAGAGACUGAUCGGCCACAUUGGGACUGAGACACGGCCCAAACUCCUACGGGAGGCAGCAGUAGGGAAUCUUCCACAAUGGACGAAGGUCUGAUGGAGCAACGCCGCGUGAGUGAAGAAGGGUUUCGGCUCGUAAAGCUCUGUUGGUAGUGAAGAAAGAUAGAGGUAGUAACUGGCCCUUUAUUUGACGGUAAUUACUUAGAAAGUCACGGCUAACUACGUGCCAGCAGCCGCGGUAAUACGUAGGUGGCAAGCGUUGUCCGGAUUUAUUGGGCGUAAAGCGAGUGCAGGCGGUUCAAUAAGUCUGAUGUGAAAGCCUUCGGCUCAACCGGAGAAUUGCAUCAGAAACUGUUGAACUUGAGUGCAGAAGAGGAGAGUGGAACUCCAUGUGUAGCGGUGGAAUGCGUAGAUAUAUGGAAGAACACCAGUGGCGAACGCGGCCCUCUGGUCUGCAACUGACGCUGAGGCUCGAAAGCAUGGGUAGCGAACAGGAUUAGAUA
rnacentral:rRNA from 1 species